GACGAACGCUGGCGGCGUGCUUAACACAUGCAAGUCGAACGAUGAAGAAAAGAAUUGAAGCUUCGGCAGAAAUUCAUUUCGGAUUAGUGGCAGACGGGUGAGUAACGCGUGAGCAACCUACCUCUUACAAAGGGAUAGCCUCGGGAAACCGGGAUUAAUACCAUAUAACAUUGCGACGAAGCAUUUCGAUGCAAUCAAAGCUACGGCGGUAAGAGAUGGGCUCGCGUCCCAUUAACCAGAUGGUGAGGUAACGGCUCACCAUAGUAACGAUGGGUAACCGGCAGGGGAGGGUGAACGGUCACAACGGAACUGAGACACGGUCCAGACUCCUACGGGAGGCAGCAGUGGGGAAUAUUGCACAAUGGAGGGAAAUCUGAUGAAGCGACGCCGCGUGAGUGAUGAAGGAAUUCGUUUCGUAAAACUCUGUUCUAUGGGAAGAAAAGGACUGUACCAGAGGAGAAAGCACCGGCUAAAUACGUG
rnacentral:rRNA from 1 species